rnacentral:rRNA from 1 species
CGCUAGCGACAGGCUUAACACAUGCAAGUCGAGGGGCAGCGGGGGUAGCGAUACCCGCCGGCGACCGGCGCACGGGUGAGUAACGCGUAUGCAACUUGCCUAUCAGAGGGGGAUAACCCGGCGAAAGUCGGACUAAUACCGCAUGAAGCAGGGGCCCCGCAUGGGGAUAUUUGCUAAAGAUUCAUCGCUGAUAGAUAGGCAUGCGUUCCAUUAGGCAGUUGGCGGGGUAACGGCCCACCAAACCGACGAUGGAUAGGGGUUCUGAGAGGAAGGUCCCCCACAUUGGUACUGAGACACGGACCAAACUCCUACGGGAGGCAGCAGUGAGGAAUAUUGGUCAAUGGCCGAGAGGCUGAACCAGCCAAGUCGCGUGAGGGAUGAAGGUUCUAUGGAUCGUAAACCUCUUUUAUAAGGGAAUAAAGUGCGGGACGUGUCCCGUUUUGUAUGUACCUUAUGAAUAAGGAUCGGCUAACUCCGUGCCAGCAGCCGCGGUAAUACGGAGGAUCCGAGCGUUAUCCGGAUUUAUUGGGUUUAAAGGGUGCGUAGGCGGCCUUUUAAGUCAGCGGUGAAAGUCUGUGGCUCAACCAUAGAAUUGCCGUUGAAACUGGGGGGCUUGAGUAUGUUUGAGGCAGGCGGAAUGCGUGGUGUAGCGGUGAAAUGCAUAGAUAUCACGCAGAACCCCGAUUGCGAAGGCAGCCUGCCAAGCCAUUACUGACGCUGAUGCACGAAAGCGUGGGGAUCAAACAGGAUUAGAUACCCUGGUAGUCCACGCAGUAAACGAUGAUCACUAGCUGUUUGCGAUACACUGUAAGCGGCACAGCGAAAGCGUUAAGUGAUCCACCUGGGGAGUACGCCGGCAACGGUGAAACUCAAAGGAAUUGACGGGGGCCCGCACAAGCGGAGGAACAUGUGGUUUAAUUCGAUGAUACGCGAGGAACCUUACCCGGGUUUGAACGCAUUCGGACCGAGGUGGAAACACCUUUUCUAGCAAUAGCCGUUUGCGAGGUGCUGCAUGGUUGUCGUCAGCUCGUGCCGUGAGGUGUCGGCUUAAGUGCCAUAACGAGCGCAACCCUUGCCACUAGUUACUAACAGGUAAAGCUGAGGACUCUGGUGGGACUGCCAGCGUAAGCUGCGAGGAAGGCGGGGAUGACGUCAAAUCAGCACGGCCCUUACAUCCGGGGCGACACACGUGUUACAAUGGCGUGGACAAAGGGAGGCCACCUGGCGACAGGGAGCGAAUCCCCAAACCACGUCUCAGUUCGGAUCGGAGUCUGCAACCCGACUCCGUGAAGCUGGAUUCGCUAGUAAUCGCGCAUCAGCCAUGGCGCGGUGAAUACGUUCCCGGGCCUUGUACACACCGCCCGUCAAGCCAUGGGAGCCGGGGGUACCUGAAGUCCGUAACCGAAAGGAUCGGCCUAGGGUAAAACUGGU